AUUGAACGCUGGCGGCAGGCCUAACACAUGCAAGUCGAGCGGAUGAAGGGAGCUUGCUCCUGGAUUCAGCGGCGGACGGGUGAGUAAUGCCUAGGAAUCUGCCUGGUAGUGGGGGAUAACGUCCGGAAACGGGCGCUAAUACCGCAUACGUCCUGCGGGAGAAAGUGGGGGAUCUUCGGACCUCACGCUAUCAGAUGAGCCUAGGUCGGAUUAGCUAGUUGGUGGGGUAAAGGCCUACCAAGGCGACGAUCCGUAACUGGUCUGAGAGGAUGAUCAGUCACACUGGAACUGAGACACGGUCCAGACUCCUACGGGAGGCAGCAGUGGGGAAUAGUGGACAAUGGGCGAAAGCCUGAUCCAGCCAUGCCGCGUGUGUGAAGAAGGUCUUCGGAUUGUAAAGCACUUUAAGUGGGGAGGAAGGGCAGUAAGUUAAUACCUUGCUGUUUUGACGGUACCAACAGAAUAAGCACCGGCUAACUUCGUG
rnacentral:rRNA from 1 species